AUUCAAGUGACGAGUCCCAAAUAGGACGAAACGCGCGUCCUGGAU
rnacentral:hammerhead_ribozyme from 1 species